rnacentral:rRNA from 1 species
CCUACGGGAGGCAGCAGUAGGGAAUAUUGGGCAAUGGAGGCAACUCUGACCCAGCCAUGCCGCGUGCAGGAUGAAGGCGUUAUGCGUUGUAAACUGCUUUUAUAUAGGAAGAAAUAGACCUUGCGAGGUAAGUUGACGGUACUAUAUGAAUAAGCACCGGCUAACUCCGUGCCAGCAGCCGCGGUAAUACGGAGGGUGCAAGCGUUGUCCGGAUUUAUUGGGUUUAAAGGGUGCGUAGGCGGUUUAUUAAGUCAGUGGUGAAAGACGGUCGCUCAACGAUUGCAGUGCCAUUGAUACUGGUAGACUUGAGUGGGAUUGAGGUAGCUGGAAUGGAUAGUGUAGCGGUGAAAUGCAUAGAUAUUAUCCAGAACACCAAUUGCGUAGGCAAGUUACUAAGUCUCAACUGACGCUGAGGCACGAAAGUGUGGGUAUCAAACAGGAUUAGAUACCCUGGUAGUCCACACUGUAAACGAUGAUAACUAACUGUUGGCUUUCGGGUCAGUGGUACAGAGAAAUCGUUAAGUUAUCCACCUGGGGAGUCGCCGGCAACGGUGAAACUCAAANAGAGUAGACGCGNGAGAGAGCGACGACGACGACGAGGGAGGAGG